rnacentral:rRNA from 1 species
GUCCACGCUGUAAACGAUGAGCACUAGGUGUCGCGGGUAUUGACCACUGCGGUGCCGACGCUAACGCAUUAAGUGCUCCGCCUGGGGAGUACGGUCGCAAGAUUAAAACUCAAAGGAAUUGACGGGGGCCCGCACAAGCGGUGGAGCAUGUGGUUCAAUUCGACGCAACGCGCAGAACCUUACCCGGGCUAGACAACGGUGGACCGCCCCAGAGAUGGGGCUUUCCCUCGGGGACCGCCGGUUCAGGUGCUGCAUGGCUGUCGU